GUGCUCACUUUAGCAGCACAUAAACUAAAAUUGUAACAAUACAGAGAUUAGCAUGGCCCCUAUGCAAGAAUGACAUGCAAAUUUGUGAAGUUUUCUAUAUUUGU